UCCUGGCUCAGAUUGAACGCUGGCGGCAUGCCUUACACAUGCAAGUCGAACGGCAGCGGACCUUCGGGUGCCGGCGAGUGGCGAACGGGUGAGUAAUAUAUCGGAACGUACCUUCAGGUGGGGGAUAACGUAGCGAAAGUUACGCUAAUACCGCAUAUUCUGUGAGCAGGAAAGCAGGGGGAUCGCAAGACCUUGCGCUGAUUGAGCGGCCGAUAUCAGAUUAGCUAGUUGGUGAGGUAAAGGCUCACCAAGGCGACGAUCUGUAGCGGGUCUGAGAGGAUGAUCCGCCACACUGGAACUGAGACACGGUCCAGACUCCUACGGGAGGCAGCAGUGGGGAAUUUUGGACAAUGGGCGCAAGCCUGAUCCAGCCAUGCCGCGUGAGUGAAGAAGGCCUUCGGGUUGUAAAGCUCUUUCGGCCGGGAAGAAAUCGCACGGGUUAAUACCCUGUGUGGAUGACGGUACCGGAAUAAGAAGCACCGGCUAACUACGUG
rnacentral:rRNA from 1 species